rnacentral:rRNA from 1 species
UCGGAGUGCUUGCACUCUGUGAAACAAGAUACAGGCUAGCGGCGGACGGGUGAGUAACACGUGGGUAACCUGCCCAAGAGAUCGGGAUAACACCUGGAAACAGAUGCUAAUACCGGAUAACAACAGAUGAUGCCUAUCAACUGUUUAAAAGAUGGUUCUGCUAUCACUCUUGGAUGGACCUGCGGUGCAUUAGCUAGUUGGUAGGGUAACGGCCUACCAAGGCGAUGAUGCAUAGCCGAGUUGAGAGACUGAUCGGCCACAUUGGGACUGAGACACGGCCCAAACUCCUACGGGAGGCAGCAGUAGGGAAUCUUCCACAAUGGACGCAAGUCUGAUGGAGCAACGCCGCGUGAGUGAAGAAGGGUUUCGGCUCGUAAAGCUCUGUUGUUGGUGAAGAAGGACAGGGGUAGUAACUGACCUUUGUUUGACGGUAAUCAAUUAGAAAGUCACGGCUAACUACGUGCCAGCAGCCGCGGUAAUACGUAGGUGGCAAGCGUUGUCCGGAUUUAUUGGGCGUAAAGCGAGUGCAGGCGGCUCGAUAAGUCUGAUGUGAAAGCCUUCGGCUCAACCGGAGAAUUGCAUCAGAAACUGUCGAGCUUGAGUACAGAAGAGGAGAGUGGAACUCCAUGUGUAGCGGUGAAAUGCGUAGAUAUAUGGAAGAACACCGGUGGCGAAGGCGGCUCUCUGGUCUGUUACUGACGCUGAGGCUCGAAGGCAUGGGUAGCGAACAGGAUUAGAUACCCUGGUAGUCCAUGCCGUAAACGAUGAGUGCUAAGUGUUGGGAGGUUUCCGCCUCUCAGUGCUGCAGCUAACGCAUUAAGCACUCCGCCUGG